rnacentral:rRNA from 1 species
GGCAGCAGUGGGGAAUCUUCCGCAAUGGACGCAAGUCUGACGGAGCAACGCCGCGUGAGCGAUGAAGGUCUUCGGAUCGUAAAGCUCUGUUAUUAGGGAAGAACAAGUACCGUUUGAAUAAGGCGGUACCUUGACGGUACCUAACCAGAAAGCCACGGCUAACUACGUGCCAGCAGCCGCGGUAAUACGUAGGUGGCAAGCGUUGUCCGGAAUUAUUGGGCGUAAAGCGCGCGCAGGCGGUCCUUUAAGUCUGAUGUGAAAGCCCACGGCUCAACCGUGGCGGGUCAUUGGAAACUGGAGGACUUGAGUGCAGAAGAGGAGAGUGGAAUUCCACGUGUAGCGGUGAAAUGCGUAGAGAUGUGGAGGAACACCAGUGGCGAAGGCGACUCUCUGGUCUGUAACUGACGCUGAGGCGCGAAAGCGUGGGUAGCGAACAGGAUUAGAUACCCUGGUAGUCCACGCCGUAAACGAUGAGUGCUAAGUGU